rnacentral:rRNA from 1 species
CCUACGGGUGGCUGCAGUGAGGAAUAUUGGUCAAUGGGCGAGAGCCUGAACCAGCCAAGUAGCGUGAAGGAUGACUGCCCUAUGGGUUGUAAACUUCUUUUAUAUGGGAAUAAAGUGCAGUACGUAUACGACUUUGCAUGUACCUUAUGAAUAAGGAUCGGCUAACUCCGUGCCAGCAGCCGCGGUAAUACGGAGGAUCCGAGCGUUAUCCGGAUUUAUUGGGUUUAAAGGGAGCGUAGGUGGAUUGUUAAGUCAGUUGUGAAAGUUUGCGGCUCAACCGUAAAAUUGCAGUUGAUACUGGCAGUCUUGAGUACAGUAGAGGUAGGCGGAAUUCGUGGUGUAGCGGUGAAAUGCUUAGAUAUCACGAAGAACCCCGAUUGCGAAGGCAGCUUACUGAACUGUAACUGACAUUGAUGCUCGAAAGUGUGGGUAUCAAACAGGAUUAGAUACCCCAGUAGUC